GUCGAACGCUGGCGGCGUGCCUAAUACAUGCAAGUAGAACGCCGUUGCGAACGGGUGAGUAACGCGUAGGUAACCUGCCCCAUAGCGGGGGAUAACUAUUGGAAACGAUAGCUAAUACCGCCUACUGUGAGACGGACCUGCGUUGUAUUAGCUAGUUGGUGAGGUAAAGGCUCACCAAGGCGACGAUACAUACCCGACCUGAGAAGGGGAUCGGCCACAAGGGGACUGGGACACGGCCCAGGCUCCUUCGGGAGGCACGAGGAGGGAAACUUCGGCAAUGGACGGUAGUCUUACCGAGGAACGCCGCAUGAGGGAAAGAAGUUCUCGGAUCUGAAAGCUCUGUUGUUAGAGAAGCGGUAACUAAACAGGAAGGAACGGCUAACUCCGUGCCAGCAGCCGCGGUAAUAC
rnacentral:rRNA from 1 species